UCCUAUUGCCAACCCACCAACUUAGUAUGAAACUUGGGUCCAGUUAUUCAGAACUUUACUACAUGUUUUUGACCAAGAUAAGUCCUAAGAUGCUACCCAGGGCAUUUUCAGCCUAAUCAGGGGCUCCUAUAGAUUCAAGCACAAAGGUCAAAGGUUGAUCAUCUAUCAGUGUACUUUACUGUCUUAGUUUUGAACUGCAUCUCCUCGAAUCACAGUUGGUAAGCUGGGCUGGACUGGAUCUUAACUCAGAGUUCUGUAGGAAGAUGAAAAUGGGAGAGAGAGAGAGAGAGAGAGAGAAGAGACAGAGAGAGAAUCUUUCUGGUGUCUCCUGUUAUGAAGACACUAAUCCCAUUCAUGAUGGCUCCACCCUCAUGACCUAAUUCUUUCCCCAACGUCUCACCUCCAAAUACCAUCAUAUUGGGAAUAUAGGAUGGAAUUACAGGGAUGCGCCACCACAUCUGGCUGAACUCUCAUUGUUUCUUGUUGAAACAGGUUAGAUCACAUAUUUGUAGGUUGGAUUGUACUACCAGAAGGAAGAGAUCUAUAGGACUGGUAAAUAUCUUCCGUGAGUUGUUUAUAGCAAUGCAGCAGCUCCUCCCUCAAUGAAGUGUGGCUUGUCCUUAGGUUCUGGAGAUCAGCUCUGUGACCCACCAUCCAUCCUGCUGUUGGUCUGCUGGAUGUCUCCCAAGCAGGUUUGGAGCUGGCAUCUGUCGCACAGGAGCUCUCCUGUUUUCUCAGUGUAACAUGGCUUGGAGAAGCUUUGUAUGGACUGGGGGUUCAGAGUGUCAAAGUUUUGAUUAUUCUUGGUGCUUUUAUUCUGCUAAGUGUGUCUCCAGCAUCUCAGCAAGAUUUUUGAUUUAUGGAGUUCAUGCUGUCUGCUUCUGCACUCUAGUCACCAUCUUGGAUCCCCUCUAAUUUUCCUAAUUCUAACUUGAAGGUGAAUGAAUGAUAACAAAAGUAACAACUUUGUUCUAUCAAUGAAUAUUAAAGAAAAGAAGGGCCUAGAUUAUGAGUACCUCAGUUUUAACUGCAAGGUCCUAUGUUAGAGUGCUAGUGUGACAGUCAUGGGUUCACUAGUUACUGACUAGCCACAAGAUCUCAGAUGAGCUACUUAUCCACAAAAACAUUAGGCCUCUCAUUUGUGCAAUGGGAAAAAUAUCACCACCCAUCUCAUAUUUUGUGAUGAGGAUUAAAUAAGCACUCAAGUCGCUUGGCAAAAUAGUAUAUAAUAAUCAAUUGGUGAAUUAUGGCAUUCUAAUAGUUAUUCUUCAGUGAAAAUUCUCCCCACACCUGUAUCAGUAUAAAAUAGUUUUAGCCAACCUAAGAUAAUAAAAAUGCAGAAACUUGGAGGAAUCUCAGAAGACAAAAUGCUCUUUAUAAGUAUUGAAUAUAUAUAUAUUCACAUGGGUUCAAAAUUUUAAAAAGCAAAAAAUAUUUGAAAGUUUUUGAAUCACUCACCUUUCUCAGCCAUAAGGUUUGCUUCCCACAGGUAACUAACGUUACCAUUUCUUGAAUAUCUUAAAGGGAGUUAAUGCAUCUAAAAUAUAAGCAAAAAAAGCUUUUGCCAGCUUUAUUUAAAAGUGCUUUUAAAAUAUGAAUCCCCCUUCUAUACUUGUAAGAGGAAUUGUUUUUCACAGGACUUAAGGCUCUGCCAUGUUGACACACAUGUCUAUUAUUAUUUUACUAAGACUACAGGUAAAAUUUGUCCUACAUCUUGUAAGAUACAGAACUUACUAGAACUCUGGGACAUAUUUUAUGUCACUAGUAUUUGUGCUGAAUAUUAUCUUAUUGUGUAUUGAAUUUAUAUGGCAUCUCAAUAUAGUUAAACUCAGAUAAAGAAUUUGCUGUGCUUAAUUAAAUUAGCUGGGUAUGUGUGCAUCCUGAUGUAAAUAUAUUUUCCUUAUAAAGACUAUUUUGUUCUUUGUAAGGCACUAGAAGUUUGAAAUUAGCUCGGUUUUUUUUUUUUAGCCCUGAGUUUUAAAAUUUGGUCCUAAAACAAGACAGAAAAACACUGGUGGAACUGAAAGGUUGAAUACAGUUUUUAGGAAUAUUCUUAUUUUUUCACUAUUCACUGCCUCCUGACUAAAUAUAGUAUUUUUCAAAUAUUAUUGACUAUUAAUGUUAGCAAUAAAAUGUAUCUAGGGA